AUACGGAGGGCGCAAGCGUUGUUCGGAAUCAUUGGGCGUAAAGAGCGUGUAGGCGGCUUGGUAAGUCGGGUGUGAAAGCCCGGGGCUCAACCCCGGAAUUGCAUUCGAAACUGCUUCGCUAGAGUCCCGGAGAGGAAGGCGGAAUUCUCGGUGUAGAGGUGAAAUUCGUAGAUAUCGAGAGGAACACCAGUGGCGAAGGCGGCCUUCUGGACGGUGACUGACGCUGAGACGCGAAAGCGUGGGGAGCAAACAGGAUUAGAAACCCCAGUAGUCC
rnacentral:rRNA from 1 species